UCCCUGCUGCCUGCACACGUUGGCUGGCACAGGCUCGGAGAGAGAAGCAAGCCCUUCCCCAGUGCAGAGCUCAGUGCUGCAUUGCAGUCUGCUGCCAGGGAGCCACGGGCUGAUUCAGGAUUUCUUAGUUCCCCUUGUAUUUUUCAGCAAUAGCAGUGUUUAAAAUCUUACAACUGGAAGUUUGUGGAGGAGAAGACGAACGAAGGGAUAGAAGAACAGCCAGUGCUGCUGAUUGUCACUUCAAAUCCUCUGGGGAAGAGACUUCUGGAAGUGAAUGGGAACUGAUCACCUUUCUACAGAGUUCUUGAGUCAUCUCACAGUAUUUAACAGAAAAUAAUUAUUUCACUUCAAAUUGAUAUAAUGUGGCUUAAAAGUGCUUGAAGAUAAAAAAUGUGUUAAUUUACACAAUAUAAGUUAUC